ACUGAAUGGGCUAGGGCAUACACCAAUGUACCAAACCCUAUCAAACUCCGAAUACUUAUAGCGUAACCACGGCAGUCAGGCGGCGAGUGAUAAAAUCCGUCGUCAAGAGGGAAACAACCCGGACUAACAGCUAAGGUCCCCAAAUCUCAUUUAAGUGGAAAACGAUGUGAAGUUACUGAAACAACCAGGAGGUUGGCUUAGAAGCAGCCAUCCUUUAAAGAUAGCGUAAUAGCUCACUGGUCUAGUGAUUUUGCGCGGAAAAUAUAACGGGGCUAAAAUGAGUACCGAAGCUUUAGACUUGCACUUAAUCAUUUAUACUUGGCUUGGCUUUUGAGCGUCUUUAAAUGAGCUCGUAAAAAUAAAUGCUCGCGAACUAUAUGUUCGCUCCGCUUUAUUUUUACGUCGCAACAUUUAAAUCCAUCUCAAAAAUCCUGCGCCAUCUUGAGUUCAAAUUUGAACUAAACGUCUUAAUCUAAAUUUUAUAAAUUUCAAAUUUCUUAGAAUUUUAAAAUUUAACGACAAAAAGCAAAAAGACAAGCCGCAAGAAAAGUGUAAAUCAUUAAGUGCAAGUGGUAGGAGAGCGUUCCAAUCAGCGUCGAAGCCGUACCGGUAAGGAGCGGUGGAGCGGUUGGAAGUGAGCAUGCAGGCAUGAGUAGCGAUAAAAUACGUGAGAAUCGUAUUCGCCGUAAACCCAAGGUUUCCUACGCGAUGCUCGUCAUCGUAGGGUUAGUCGGGUCCUAAGCAAAGUCCGAAAGGGGUAUGCGAUGGAAAAUCGGUUAAUAUUCCGAUACCGAUAUCAGUGUGCGACGGAAGGACGCUUAAAGUUAGUGGAGCUAGCGGAUGGAAGUGCUAGUCUAAGGAAGUAGGUUGAGUUAUAGGCAAAUCCGUAACUCUUUAUCCGAGAUCUGAAAGGCUUCUGACGCUCUUCGGAGUAGAUGAAGAAUCCAUGAUACUAUCGAGCCGAGAAAAGUUUCUAAGUUUAGCUGAUAUCGCCCGUACCGUAAACCGACACAGGUGGGUGGGAUGAGUAUUCUAAGGCGCGUGGAAGAACUCUCUUCAAGGAACUCUGCAAAAUAGCACCGUAUCUUCGGUAUAAGGUGUGCCUAACUUUGUGAAGGAUUUACUCCGUAAGCAUUGAAGGUUACAACAAAGAGUCCCUCCCGACUGUUUACCAAAAACACAGCACUCUGCUAACUCGUAAGAGGAUGUAUAGGGUGUGACGCCUGCCCGGUGCUCGAAGGUUAAUUGAUGACGUUAGCUCUGCGAAGCGUUUGAUCGAAGCCCGAGUAAACGGCGGCCGUAACUAUAACGGUCCUAAGGUAGCGAAAUUCCUUGUCGAUUAAAUAUCGACCUGCAUGAAUGGCGUAACGAGAUGGGAGCUGUCUCGAAGAGGGAUCCAGUGAAAUUGUAGUGGAGGUGAAAAUUCCUCCUACCCGCGGCAAGACGGAAAGACCCCGUGGACCUUUACUACAGCUUGACACUGCUAUUGGGAUAAAAAUGUGCAGGAUAGGUGGGAGGCUUUGAUCCAUAGACGCCAGUUUAUGGUGAGCCGUUGUUGAGAUACCACUCUUUUUUAUUCUGAUAGCUAACUAGCUUGAGUUAUCCUCAAGUAGGACAAUGUCUGGUGGGUAGUUUGACUGGGGCGGUCGCCUCCCAAAAUGUAACGGAGGCUUACAAAGGUUGGCUCAGAACGGUUGGAAAUCGUUCGCAGAGUAUAAAGGCAAAAGCCAGCUUAACUGCGAGACAUACACGUCAAGCAGGGACGAAAGUCGGUCUUAGUGAUCCGGUGGUUCUGUGUGGAAGGGCCAUCGCUCAAAGGAUAAAAGGUACCCCGGGGAUAACAGGCUGAUCUCCCCCAAGAGCUCACAUCGACGGGGAGGUUUGGCACCUCGAUGUCGGCUCAUCGCAUCCUGGGGCUGGAGCAGGUCCCAAGGGUUUGGCUGUUCGCCAAUUAAAGCGGUACGUGAGCUGGGUUCAGAACGUCGCGAGACAGUUCGGUCCCUAUCUGCUAUGGGCGUUGGAUAUGUGAGGGGAGCUGCUUUUAGUACGAGAGGACCGAAGUGGACGAACCUCUGGUGUACCAGUUAUCCUGCCAAGGGUAUGUGCUGGGUAGCUAUCGUUCGGAAGGGAUAACCGCUGAAGGCAUCUAAGCGGGAAGCCCACCUCAAGAUUACAUAUCCCUCGGGGUUUAACCCCGCUAAAGACUCCUUGCACACUACAAGGUUGAUAGGUUGCAGGUCUAAGCACAGUAAUGUGUUCAGCCGAGCAAUACUAAUAAGUCGUGAGGCUUGACCAUA
rnacentral:rRNA from 1 species